rnacentral:rRNA from 1 species
CUACGUGCCAGCAGCCGCGGUAAUACGUAGGGUGCGAGCGUUAAUCGGAAUUACUGGGCGUAAAGCGGGCGCAGACGGUUACUUAAGCGGGAUGUGAAAUCCCCGGGCUCAACCCGGGAACUGCGUUCCGAACUGGGUGGCUAGAGUGUGUCAGAGGGGGGUAGAAUUCCACGUGUAGCAGUGAAAUGCGUAGAGAUGUGGAGGAAUACCGAUGGCGAAGGCAGCCCCCUGGGAUAACACUGACGUUCAUGCCCGAAAGCGUGGGUAGCAAACAGGAUUAGAUACCCUGGUAGUCCACGCCCUAAACGAUGUCAAUUAGCUGUUGGGCAACUUGAUUGCUUAGUAGCGUAGCUAACGCGUGAAAUUGACCGCCUGGGGAGUACGGUCGCAAGAUUAAAACUCAAAGGAAUUGACGGGGACCCGCACAAGCGGUGGAUGAUGUGGAUUAAUUCGAUGCAACGCGAAGAACCUUACCUGGUCUUGACAU